rnacentral:rRNA from 1 species
UACGGGGGGGGCAAGCGUUGCUCGGAAUCACUGGGCGUAAAGCGCACGUAGGCGGCUUUCUAAGUCAGGGGUGAAAUCCUGGAGCUCAACUCCAGAACUGCCUUUGAUACUGGAAAGCUUGAGUUCGGGAGAGGUGAGUGGAACUGCGAGUGUAGAGGUGAAAUUCGUAGAUAUUCGCAAGAACACCAGUGGCGAAGGCGGCUCACUGGCCCGAUACUGACGCUGAGGCGCGAAAGCUAGGGGAGCAAACGGG